rnacentral:rRNA from 1 species
UGGGGAAUUUUCCGCAAUGGGCGCAAGCCUGACGGAGCAAUACCGCGUGAGGGAGGAAGGCUUUUGGGUUGUAAACCUCUUUUCUCAAGGAAGAACACAAUGACGGUACUUGAGGAAUCAGCAUCGGCUAACUCCGUGCCAGCAGCCGCGGUAAUACGGAGGAUGCAAGCGUUAUCCGGAAUUAUUGGGCGUAAAGCGUCCGCAGGUGGUAGUUCAAGUCUGCUGUCAAAGACCGAAGCUCAACUUCGGGCAGGCAGUGGAAACUGAAGCACUAGAGUACGGUAGGGGUAGAGGGAAUUUCCAGUGUAGCGGUGAAAUGCGUAGAGAUUGGAAAGAACACCAGUGGCGAAGGCGCUCUACUGGACCUGUACUGACACUCAGGGACGAAAGCUAGGGGAGCGAAAGGGAUUAGAUACCCGCGUAGUCC